AUAACUCCCAUUGAAGCUCCCAUGGCCGCCCCAUUUUCCACCUUUAUCUACCCAUGAUCCAACCAUGGAAACCUCAAGCUUCCUUCACUAAAAUUGCUCUACAUCACUUGGGCAGUAGAUAGGCAGAAAGAAGACCAAGUUUUGGAGAGAUUUUGAAGAGUUUCCAAAGUGUUAGCAAAGACUCAGGGAGAGGGAAGAAAACACUGAGUCAAGACCAAGAGACAGUUAUCAGAGGUUU
rnacentral:misc_RNA from 1 species